AUGGCAGGUUUGCUGCAAAUCAAAGGAAAAGUUUCAGACGUGUUGGGAAUUGUUCUUAUUUUGUCAAACUAUGCUGUCAAUAGUCCAAAAAGAGGGAUACUGGCACAGGAAGAAAAAAGAAGGAACCCGUUUGAGAAGAAAGAGGUUGUCCACAAAGAAAGAGGUAGUCCAAAAAGAGAAACUUUGAUGGAAUCAGCAUCAGAAGAUCAGUAUCAACAUCAGCAUCAGAAGAUAUGUCAGCAUCAGAAGAUCAGUAUCAACAUCAGCAUCAGAAGAUAUGUCAGCAUCAGAAGAUCAAUAACAUGUGUUACACGCUGA